rnacentral:lncRNA from 1 species
CCCAUCCCCAAAGGCACUGCAAAUACCUUAUCCCCAGUAUUUCCAGUAUUGGUAGUGUUAUUGUAACCCUUUGGGCUCAAUCCAUGAUCGUUGUAAUGGCUCAGGAUUUUGUGAGUGUAAGACUGGAACAACAGGGCCUAAGUGUGAUGAGUGUCUGCCGGGAAAUUCCUGGCACUACGGCUGUCAACGAAUGUCUGCGACAACGAGCUCCUGCACUGCCAGAACGGAGGGACGUGCCACAACAACGUGCGCUGCCUGUGCCCGGCCGCAUACACGGGCAUCCUCUGCGAGAAGCUGCGGUGCGAGGAGGCUGGCAGCUGCGGCUCCGAC